UACGUAGGGUGCAAGCGUUGUCCGGAAUUAUUGGGCGUAAAGAGCUUGUAGGCGGUUUGUCGCGUCUGCUGUGAAAUUUCGGGGCUCAACCCCGAACUUGCAGUGGGUACGGGCAGACUAGAGUGUGGUAGGGGAGACUGGAAUUCCUGGUUUAGCGGUGAAAUGCGCAGAUAUCAGGAGGAACACCGAUGGCGAAGGCAGGUCUCUGGGCCAUAACUGACGCUGAGAAGCGAAAGCAUGGGGAGCGAACAGG
rnacentral:rRNA from 1 species